rnacentral:rRNA from 1 species
AUUGAACGCUGGCGGAAUGCUUUACACAUGCAAGUCGAACGGCAGCACGGGAGCUUGCUCCUGGUGGCGAGUGGCGAACGGGUGAGUAAUACAUCGGAACGUACCCAGUUGUGGGGGAUAACACAUCGAAAGAUGUGCUAAUACCGCAUACGACCUGAGGGUGAAAGGGGGGGAUCGCAAGACCUCUCGCAGUUGGAGCGGCCGAUGUCGGAUUAGCUAGUUGGUAGGGUAAAGGCCUACCAAGGCGACGAUCCGUAGCUGGUCUGAGAGGACGACCAGCCACACUGGGACUGAGACACGGCCCAGACUCCUACGGGAGGCAGCAGUGGGGAAUUUUGGACAAUGGGGGCAACCCUGAUCCAGCCAUUCCGCGUGAGUGAAGAAGGCCUUCGGGUUGUAAAGCUCUUUCGGCAGGAACGAAAAGGUGGGUCCUAAUACAGUUUGCUAAUGACGGUACCGUAAGAAUAAGCACCGGCUAACUACGUGCCAGCCGCCGCCGUAA